AUUAAUACCGCACACGCCCUUCGGGGGAAAGCAGGGGAUCUUCGGACCUUGCGCUAUUGGAUGUGCCUAUGUCGGAUUAUCUAUUUGGUGGGGUAAGAGCCUACCCCGGCGACAAUCCCUAUCUGGUCUGAGAGGAUAAUCACCCCCAUCCCGACUGAGACACGGCCCGAACUCCUACGGGAGAGGGCAGUGGGGAAUAUUGGACAAUGGGGGCAACCCUGAUCCACCCCUGCCGCGUGUGUGAAAAAAGCUUUCGGGUUGUAAAGCACUUUCUCUGAGGAGGAAAACCUUAUGUUUAAUACCCUUGAGGCUUGACGUUACUCACAGAAGAAACACCGGCUAACUCCGUGCCACCACCCGCGGUAAUACGGAGGGUGCGAGCGUUAAUCGGAAUUACUGUGCGUAAAGCGCGCGUAGGUGGUGUGAUAAGCGAGAUGUGAAAGCCCCGGGCUCAACCUGGGAACGGCAUUUCGAACUGUCAUGCUAUAGUAUGGUAGAGGAGUGUGGAAUUUUCCUGUGUAUCGGUGAAAUGCGUAUAUAUAUGAAAGAACACCACUGGCGAAGGCGGCACUCCUGUGACCCAUACUGACACUGAGGUGCGAAAGCGUGGGG
rnacentral:rRNA from 1 species